GAACAUAUAAGACUUUGUCUUGUGUUGAUAUUUUGGAGUUCUCCAAAUAUCCAAAACUGUUGGCAAUUGAAAUGACCCGAUAGCGCAGCGAAAUGCGAAGGAAAAGUCAUUGAAAGUUCGCCAGUUUUACUCU
rnacentral:misc_RNA from 1 species